CACAGCCCCCAAGCAUGUGACAUGGGCAAGAAACACACUUCGACUGUCUCUGUACACUGACAUUCACUGACAUUUGUCAGUUAUCUAUUAAUAUGGAAAAUAAUUCCUGUAGAACAUUGAUCACAGGCUGUUUGUGCGAUGAGCUAUCAAUCUAUGUAUCUACGUGUAUUUCUCUUACUGGACUGUAGAUGACUUCCUUCUUGUCCUUUCUCCUCAUUCUCCUCUCCUUCAGGAUCUUUUCUGGCUACUUCAAGUUUUAUUACUGUCAUUACCUUUAACUUUUAUUUCAUUCACAUGAACAUCCUCUGUGGCUUUAGAGUAGAGAUGGGUGCCGAGAUAUAUAUCUACUUUGUUACUCUUUAUCCUUGGUGCACUUUUAAACAACAUAUUCAGAUGCUGUAAGGAAUUUUUUCUUUUGGCCCAAACCCCUUUCUGAAGUCCUUUAUCAGUGUGAAAAUAUGGAAUUCUUCUCUCCUAAAAAUGAUAUACCUGGCUAUCACUGAGUAUAUCAUGCACCGUCUCCCUAGUCACUACUUCAUUGAUGCUCAAAUGCCCCUUAUUUAAUCACGAUCUUUUAUUGUUGUUACUUGUUUUUACAGGCAUCAUCCUGCCAGGGCCAGAUCAGAAAAGAAGGGUAAAGGGGAUUGUGACUUUAGGCAAGGGCUCAGCAAGCUAUGGUGCUGGUCCCAAGCCAGCCCACCAUCUGGAUUUGUGCAUAUUGUUUCAUUGAACACAGCCGUGCUCAUUCCCUUAAGGACUGUUUACGGCUGCUUUUGCAUUAUACUGGCAGAGCUGAGGAGCGGCAACAGAGAACCUGUUAUCUGGCCCUUUAUAGACAGAGUUGCUGACCCCUGCUUUAGACUGUUCCUAAGGGCAAGGGCAGCACUGUAUUCACGGUUGCAUCCUUGAUAGAAAUCCAAUCAACAUCAGUCAAAUUGAGAAGUAAAAUUCAAUUUCUGAUCAUCCCUCCAAAGGCAGUGCCUUACAAGCUAGAGAGAGAUGCAUCCAUGCUGGUUCCCAGGAGGAGAAUCAUUAGGAAUAAUUAUACUAAUUAUAUGCCUCCACAAGGGACCCCAGGGAACAGAAUCCAGUGGGACAGGAGGUUUCAAGGAACUAAUCUGGACGCCAUCUGAUAGCUCUGCCCUGACCACUUGUGAGAGGAACAGACCACGAACAGAAAAACAGGUCUCCAGUAUGCAGAACUACAUUGACAUGGAGCAUGGUGGCUGUAUCCAAGUCUAAAAC